GGGUUGUGAGGUUAAGCGACUAAGCGUACACGGUGGAUGCCCUGGCAGUCAGAGGCGAUGAAGGACGUGCUAAUCUGCGAAAAGCGUCGGUAAGGUGAUAUGAACCGUUAUAACCGGCGAUGUCCGAAUGGGGAAACCCAGUGCAAUUCGUUGCACUAUCGUUAACUGAAUACAUAGGUUAACGAGGCGAACCGGGGGAACUGAAACAUCUAAGUACCCCGAGGAAAAGAAAUCAACCGAGAUUCCCCCAGUAGCGGCGAGCGAACGGGGAGCAGCCCAGAGUCUGAAUCAGCUUGUGUGUUAGUGGAACGGUCUGGAAAGUCCGACGGUACAGGGUGAUAGUCCCGUACACCAAAAUGCACAGGCUGUGAACUCGAAGAGUAGGGCGGGACACGUGGUAUCCUGUCUGAAUAUGGGGGGACCAUCCUCCAAGGCUAAAUACUCCUGACUGACCGAUAGUGAACCAGUACCGUGAGGGAAAGGCGAAAAGAACCCCGGCGAGGGGAGUGAAAAAGAACCUGAAACCGUGUACGUACAAGCAGUGGGAGCACCUUCGGGUGUGACUGCGUACCUUUUGUAUAAUGGGUCAGCGACUUAUAUUCUGUAGCAAGGUUAACCGUAUAGGGGAGCCGCAGGGAAACCGAGUCUUAACUGGGCGUUAAGUUGCAGGGUAUAGACCCGAAACCCGGUGAUCUAGCCAUGGGCAGGUUGAAGGUUGGGUAACACUAACUGGAGGACCGAACCGACUAAUGUUGAAAAAUUAGCGGAUGACUUGUGGCUGGGGGUGAAAGGCCAAUCAAACCGGGAGAUAGCUGGUUCUCCCCGAAAGCUAUUUAGGUAGCGCCUCGUGAAUUCAUCUUCGGGGGUAGAGCACUGUUUCGGCUAGGGGGUCAUCCCGACUUACCAACCCGAUGCAAACUACGAAUACCGAAGAAUGUUAUCACGGGAGACACACGGCGGGUGCUAACGUCCGUCGUGAAGAGGGAAACAACCCAGACCGCCAGCUAAGGUCCCAAAGUCAUGGUUAAGUGGGAAACGAUGUGGGAAGGCACAGACAGCCAGGAUGUUGGCUUAGAAGCAGCCAUCAUUUAAAGAAAGCGUAAUAGCUCACUGGUCGAGUCGGCCUGCGCGGAAGAUGUAACGGGGCUAAACCAUGCACCGAAGCUGCGGCAGCGACACUAUGUGUUGUUGGGUAGGGGAGCGUUCUGUAAGCCUGCGAAGGUGUGCUGUGAGGCAUGCUGGAGGUAUCAGAAGUGCGAAUGCUGACAUAAGUAACGAUAAAGCGGGUGAAAAGCCCGCUCGCCGGAAGACCAAGGGUUCCUGUCCAACGUUAAUCGGGGCAGGGUGAGUCGACCCCUAAGGCGAGGCCGAAAGGCGUAGUCGAUGGGAAACAGGUUAAUAUUCCUGUACUUGGUGUUACUGCGAAGGGGGGACGGAGAAGGCUAUGUUAGCCGGGCGACGGUUGUCCCGGUUUAAGCAUGUAGGCUGAUUGUCCAGGCAAAUCCGGAUAAUCAAGGCUGAGGUGUGAUGACGAGGCACUACGGUGCUGAAGUAACAAAUGCCCUGCUUCCAGGAAAAGCCUCUAAGCAUCAGGUAACAUCAAAUCGUACCCCAAACCGACACAGGUGGUCAGGUAGAGAAUACCAAGGCGCUUGAGAGAACUCGGGUGAAGGAACUAGGCAAAAUGGUGCCGUAACUUCGGGAGAAGGCACGCUGGUGUGUAGGUGAAGUCCCUGCGGAUGGAGCUGAGACCAGUCGAAGAUACCAGCUGGCUGCAACUGUUUAUUAAAAACACAGCACUGUGCAAACACGAAAGUGGACGUAUACGGUGUGACGCCUGCCCGGUGCCGGAAGGUUAAUUGAUGGGGUUAUCCGUAAGGAGAAGCUCUUGAUCGAAGCCCCGGUAAACGGCGGCCGUAACUAUAACGGUCCUAAGGUAGCGAAAUUCCUUGUCGGGUAAGUUCCGACCUGCACGAAUGGCGUAAUGAUGGCCAGGCUGUCUCCACCCGAGACUCAGUGAAAUUGAACUCGCUGUGAAGAUGCAGUGUACCCGCGGCAAGACGGAAAGACCCCGUGAACCUUUACUAUAGCUUGACACUGAACAUUGAGCCUUGAUGUGUAGGAUAGGUGGGAGGCUUUGAAGCGUGGACGCCAGUCUGCGUGGAGCCAACCUUGAAAUACCACCCUUUAAUGUUUGAUGUUCUAACGUUGGCCCCUUACCGGGGUUGCGGACAGUGUCUGGUGGGUAGUUUGACUGGGGCGGUCUCCUCCCAAAGCGUAACGGAGGAGCACGAAGGUUAGCUAAUCCUGGUCGGACAUCAGGAGGUUAGUGCAAUGGCAUAAGCUAGCUUGACUGCGAGCGUGACGGCGCGAGCAGGUGCGAAAGCAGGUCAUAGUGAUCCGGUGGUUCUGAAUGGAAGGGCCAUCGCUCAACGGAUAAAAGGUACUCCGGGGAUAACAGGCUGAUACCGCCCAAGAGUUCAUAUCGACGGCGGUGUUUGGCACCUCGAUGUCGGCUCAUCACAUCCUGGGGCUGAAGUAGGUCCCAAGGGUAUGGCUGUUCGCCAUUUAAAGUGGUACGCGAGCUGGGUUUAGAACGUCGUGAGACAGUUCGGUCCCUAUCUGCCGUGGGCGCUGGAGAAUUGAGGGGGGCUGCUCCUAGUACGAGAGGACCGGAGUGGACGCAUCACUGGUGUUCGGGUUGUCAUGCCAAUGGCACUGCCCGGUAGCUAAAUGCGGAAGAGAUAAGUGCUGAAAGCAUCUAAGCACGAAACUUGCCCCGAGAUGAGUUCUCCCUGAGACUUUAAGUCUCCUGAAGGAACGUUGAAGACGACGACGUUGAUAGGCCGGGUGUGUAAGCGCAGCGAUGCGUUGAGCUAACCGGUACUAAUGAACCGUGAGGCUUAACCUUACAACGCCGAAG
rnacentral:rRNA from 2 species